rnacentral:rRNA from 1 species
ACGAUGGAUUGGUGCCUUCGGGAACUCUGACACAGGUGCUGCAUGGCUGUCGUCAGCUCGUGUCGUGAGAUGUGGGUUAAGUCCCGUAACGAGCGCAACCCUUGUCCUUAGUUACCAGCACGUUAUGGUGGGCACUCUAAGGAGGACUGCCGGUGGACAAACCGGAGGAAGGUGGGGAUGACGGUCAAGUCAUCAUGGCCCUUACGGCCUGGGCUACACACGUGCUACAAUGGUCGGUACAAAGGGUUGCCAAGCCGCGAGGUGGAGCUAAUCCCAUAAAACCGAUCGUAGUCCGGAUCGCAGUCUGCAACUCGACUGCGUGAAGUCGGAAUCGCUAGUAAUCGUGAAUCAGAAUGUCACGGUGAAUACGUUCCCGGGCCUU